GCGAAAUGCGAUACUUGGUGUGAAUUGCAGAAUCCCGUGAACCAUCGAGUCUUUGAACGCAAGUUGCGCCCGAAGCCGUCAGGCCGAGGGCACGUCUGCCUGGGCGUCACGCAU
rnacentral:rRNA from 1 species